rnacentral:misc_RNA from 1 species
GAUGAAGAACGCAGCGAAAUGCGAUAAGUAAUGUGAAUUGCAGAUUUCAGUGAAUCAUCGAAUCUUUGAACGCACAUUGCGCCCGCCAGUAUUCUGGCGGGCAUGCCUGUUCGAGCGUCAUUUCAACCAUCAAGCCCCCGGCUUGUGUUGGGGACCUGCGGCUGCCGCAGGCCCUGAAAAGCAGUGGCGGGCUCGCUGUCACACCGAGCGUAGUAGCAUACAUCUCGCUCUGGGCGUGCUGCGGGUUCCGGCCGUUAAACCACCUUCAUAACCCAAGGUUGACCUCAGAUCAGGUAGGAAGACCCGCUGAACUUAAGCAUAUCAAUAAGCGGAGGA